rnacentral:rRNA from 1 species
AUGGCAGAUCUACGUACCCUCUUCUGGGAAAAUAGAUGGAUCAAUGGUUUGAGGAUUCAGGAGAUUGCACCGAUGGUGCACGAAUUGAUACCGGAUCGGACCAAGAGAUCAAAGUUGGUUUCUGAUGCGCUGCUAAAUGACAGCUGGGCAGGCGACAUCGGCCCCAACUUAUCACUCCAAGCGCUUCAGGAGUUUUUGCGGCUGUGGCCGCUGGUCACUCAACUAACAGAUGACGUCGAGGACGUGGUGACAUGGUCGUGGGAAAAGAACGGCCAGUACUCGGCUAGAUCAGCUUAUGCGGCCAGAUUCAUGGGGCUUGUGGUCUCCUCGACAUCGGCAUUCACCUGGAAGUCGAGGGCACCCUUGCAGUGCCGUUUCUUCGCAUGGCUAGCCCUCAAGAACGGAUGCUGGACGUCCGAUCGUUUGGCCCGCCGCGGACUACCACAACAAGACACAUGCCCCCUAUGCAACCAACAUGAGGAAACUAUCCAACAUCUGCUUGUGAACUGUGUCUUUGCAAAGCAGGUCUGUCAUUCGAUGGGGGAGAAUCAUGGGCAGGCUAGAAUUUGA